CAGAGCAAAACACUUCUGCUGCUUAAAGUCAGAUCUACGUUUUUUGCAAUAAUACUUAAAAAAAAAAAAAAAAAGGAUAAAUAAUUGCCUUAAAGCCUCAGCCGAACUGCCAACCACACCUUCGGAUGUUAGAAGGCAGAAAUAUGUGAACUGCUGAGAGAGGGCCUGCCUCAGCGAUGCCAUAAAUAGAGAUUGAGCUAUCAGGAGGAAAAAAAAAAAAAAAGGAGAAAGAAUAAAAUAAAAGCAAAACCCUGGACAGGAAUAGAGACAGACAGAUAAAUGUAUAACUGCAUCUGAACAAUGUUACGUGGCACAUUAGGAGUUGGUAAAAAAAUUUAAAUCUAUCGCAUAUUUAUAACCUCAUAAUUAAAAUACGUUCUUAUCUCUCUCCUCUGAAAGGUUGCAGCUUUCUUGGAAGUAUUUUGAGUGCAUAUUUUAAACUCUAUGUCUUGAAUUGAAUUAAGAUGAGCUGUUUUGCCCAAGAGUAGAGCCCUUGUUUACAAUUUAAUAUUUAACUUUCAGCUGCCUACCCAUCGCCAUAUCAUUUUCUUUAGAUUUCACCUCCUUACAUUUGCAGGCUUUAUUUAAAAUGAUGUCAGAUUAUAUCAAAUCCUAAUUUCUUAUCAUAAGAAAUGAGUCAGUAUAAUCCAAAACAGUCCCCCUGGUGUGAUCGAGGUAAAUUGGAUGAGGAUCUUUCACAUUCAAAGGGUUAAAGCUAAACCGAAAACUUUAAAGCAAAGAGAUACCAGCAAACAGUGAAAAAUGGUACAUCUGCUCCUUCUUGACAAGCUUGCAUUAUAUCACAUGUAAGGAAGCCCAAAUUUUUGAAUCUAAGACCAGUUUUAGUUUUUAAUAGGAAAUAAUUACAUGGAACUUUAUUUCCAGAGAGAAUGUCCCUUCCAGCUACAGUGUUUUGCUUUGAUCUAAGUAUUAACUGGUAAUAAAAUAACCAUAUUUUGGAUCCUAAGCAUAUUGAUGCUUAGAGGAAUGUUAUGCUUUCAAUCAAAUUUUAACUUUAGAUUAUCCAAAGGUAUUCAUCCUUCUUUUGUCAGAAACCAAUUUGCUCUCCUGCUCCUACAGCUACUCACAUGUGGUUUGGUAUACUUUGUUAUUUUAUAGUGGAAUUUGCACCAGCGAGGUGGAAAACUUUUGGAUGGAAUGAGAUCAUGUUCCAGCCUGGAAAUUUGGGCUGUUUCUCACACAGGUCCCCAGUCCAGCCCUUCUUUACACUUGUUGUGCACCACGACCAUCGCUCACCUCCGAGGGCGACCACCGAGACAGGAUUUUGUUUUAAAUAUUCAGAUUUUUCAUUUAAUUUUUUUUUUUUUUAACAUGGAGAAUCAAUCAUUUGGACCCAUCCUGAACAAUUAACCUCCCCUUUAUAUUACAGCCCCAAGUGCAGUACUUUAUAAAGACAUGAAAAGGACAUCCCAGUCAGCAGGACCUGAGCCCAGGCUUGUCACAGAGUAUAAAAGGAGAGAGAAGGGGAGUUUUUAUCUCUUUGCCCCACCAAUUCUUAAUAGUUCUAAGUUUCAGUGUGACAAUAAAACAGUUUUGAUAACAUAGCUCAUGGGUUUCUCUGCCACAUAAAGUUUUCUUAAUAAUAAAAAAGAAGAAACUUUAUCCCUGCUAAAUUAAAAUAGGGCAGAUGUUGGAUAUGGUUCAUAUUAGCCAGCCUUUCACCCCUUUGCCCCUGGCACUAAAGUUCUGACUUUUUCUUUCUACUAUGUCUGUUUCUAACUGAAAGGUAUUAUUCCUGCCCUGGCUCUCUUCUUCUAUUUAUUUUUUCAGUGUCUAAAAUUAAACCUAUUCAUUUAGUAAUAUACAUUCUAUUUCACAUUGCUAAACCUGGCCAGAGAGGGGAAACAUUUUCCAAAAAAGUGAUGCACCACUGACCUUAAAAGAAAACAUGAAGCAGGGAAAGCUGUUCUUAAAAGGUUUAUUUCUAGAGAAUUUUGUGGCUCUGUUGACAUUAUAGGGAUAAUGGCUGUAUUGCAAUGGGCUUUCAAGGCCCAAGAGGUUUAUGUUUUCUUCUGACCAUAAGCCUAAUAAAAUUUUAAAGGUGCACAAAGUCUCAUCACUUUAGAUAUUUAAAACUAGCUUGAAAAAAUCUCUUGGGAAACAUAUAUUGUGGUGGAUAGCCCCACUGAGAAAGCAGGGGAUAGACAAAAAAAAUACCCGGAGCGCAAACCCAAAUAAACCCCCCAGUAUUUUUCAUGCUAGCUCUAUGAAAAUCCUGGCUGUUAAACUCCCAAGGAUAGUACAGCUCUUUUCUCCAGGACUGUGCAGAUAGAAUUUAUUGUCCAUUUGGAAUGAUCAAGUUUAGGCUAAUAAAAGGCCCUCUGUAAGCAGAAAUGCCCAAGUUGAUGUUAGGCAGAGUUUUCAAUGGUGGAGUUUAUACAGGACGGGGGCUCUGCACUAUUUGAAAUAACUCCUAUCCCAGCAGCUGAGGAUGAUCUGACACACAAGUAAACGUUAGCAAGCAGUGACUGAAGGUUAAUCAGAGCUGCUUUCUGAGCUGGGUGCUUGGAAGCAGAAAAAAGUGAAAGCUGCUUUCUCUAGCCCUUUCCUAUGCUAAGGUGCUGCUAACUUUUAUGAUUUUUUUUCCCCUUUCCUCUUUUACUAUCUGUCUUUGUGCCUGAGGGCCAGUGAAAGAACACUGCAGAUUCUAGAUUGCUUUCAGAGUUUCCCUUUGCUGAUGAUGGAUUACCAUGUCAAUUUAAACGGCAUAGGAUUAAUUUGUUUCAAUGAUUUCUCUUUAGGCUGAAUGCCAGUCUUUUUUUCUAUCUCUCUCCUUGCUCUGCAGAAAAAAUAAUAACAACAAUAAUAAUAAUAAAUCCUUAAACCCCCCAAACACUUUUGAGAUCCCAUGUUAAAAAGACAAUAAUAGAAAUAGACAAGUUAGGUGUAAUGUUGCAACACAGUUGUAGGUUUGAGUGUUUUUAUCUCGUUCUAAGGGGCUGCAGCAUACAGUCAGUCACAUUAAAAUGAAAUUGGAUCCAACGUUUAUUCAAUAAAUACUUGUCUUGUAGGUAAUCCAGAACAGAGUGCUUUUGACACAUAAGGACUUAAUUUGUCUUGGAUAACAAGUUAUUAAUAUGGCACAUUUAAACUUGCCACCUACAAUAAGGUCAUUUAGAUCUAUAAUACGACUCACGAGAGAACUUCAUAAAGCCAGAAACAAAGUUUGAAACUGCCUCUGAGGCGCGGAGCAGACGCACGGCUCACGGUUUGCUCUUUUCAGAAGAAAGUUCAGAGCAAGUAGGAGCCACCCAAACCCAAAUGGUGUGCAUCUGCUCCUCUUUGAAAGGCAAACGUAAAUGGAGCAAGGAGGGGAGAAAAAAAAAAAAGGAACCCAAACACACAUUUUUGAAUGAGUAAGCUUUAAAGCUGUGCUGCGUCUGCUCGCAAACUCAUCGCAGCUUUGAAAGUGAAAAAACAACAUUUGGUUCAGAGUGGAAAUUCGCCUGCAUUUGCACCCUACCUCUUCCAUGUGCUUCACAAUUUACUCGCUUUUAAUAAUAAGUGAGGAAGUUGGAACAUAAUCCAGCCAUAAAUGUUAUUGCUGUAAUUUGACUGCUCUGUGUUUGUUCAUGCAUUAGUUGUAUAUGUAAAACGAAGUGUGGAUGGAUGGUGGGGAUCCCUGUGCAGCAUGAGCAGACAGAGGUGUUGGGGAUUUUAACACCCAAACACCCUGCAGUUGUUUUCAGUUUUGGGGUGUUUAGUUUCAGAGCUGUCCUAACCCAGUGGUGCCUGUAAGAGGUGCAUCAGGAGGGGAAUGUUGUGGGCAUGCCGCUCAGGACGCGUUUGGUGACUGGCAAUUCGGUCUCCACACCGUCUCCCUGAGCUUUGUUAUUCUGCUUUUCUCUACUAAGCUCUUGGUUGCUCUUGCCCUGGCAGAUUCUGUCUCUUUAAGUAACUAAAUCUCAUUUUUAAGCUAUUCCUGGGAAAAGGAUGUUACACAUGAGUAGAAAAAUGCAGGCAAGAAAGGCUAAUUGAAUGAAAAGAGAGAAUUAGGUUAAAAAUAGAGUACAAUCUAGUAUCACAUUUUCACUAGUGUAACCUGAAAUGAAGGUGUCUCCAAGUCCCCAGUGAUGCCAGAGUGUUUAGAUGUUGGGCACAGAUGGAGACACCUAUUGAAAUGUGUCUGAAGAAGAUUAAUAGGACUUGUCAGUGUUGGGAAAGCACUGCUUUGCUGUAAAUUUCUACUAGCACAAGAUGAAUUACCGAUGAAUGCUCAGUUAUCAACCCCAUCACUAUCAUUGGACACUAAAUCAAAUUGAGCAGUUAUCUACAAUCAGAAAAUUUCUUUUAAAAGUAGGCAUACACCUUUAGGCUUAAACUCUUUAAUAAGACAAUAUCCUCGAUGGUGUGUGUGUGUUCACGAAGGGAUAUGAUUUAAAGUUUCUAUACAAAAACCCUCUGUUCAGAAUUUAACUCCAAGUUCAGUGUGAAACCUGGGUUGUCAAACAAUAGAAGAUAGUCAGAAAAUGCUGGUUAUAUAAUACAGAGUUCUGCUGGGGGUCUGAUCCAAAAUAUCAUUAGAUUUUGGUUCCAUCCCUAUUUACGAGGGUUUUUUCCAAUCUCUGCCCUCUCCUUAUUUAUG